rnacentral:pre_miRNA from 1 species
CUUGUACUCCCUCCGUCCGGAAAUACUUGUCAUCAAAAUGGAUAAAAGGGGAUGUAUCUAGACGUAUUUUAGUUCUAGAUACAUCUCUUUUCAUCCAUUUUGAUGACAAGUAUUUUCGGACGGAGGGAGUACUAC